CGGGGGGAGCAAGCGUUGUUCGGAUUUACUGGGCGUAAAGGGCGCGUAGGCGGUCAGCACAAGUCAGUUGUGAAAUCUCCGAGCUUAACUCGGAAAGGUCAACUGAUACUGUGCGACUAGAGUGCAGAAGGGGCAACUGGAAUUCUCGGUGUAGCGGUGAAAUGCGUAGAUAUCGAGAGGAACACCUGCGGCGAAGGCGGGUUGCUGGGCUGACACUGACGCUGAGGCGCGAAAGCUAGGGGAGCGAACGGGAUUAGAUACCCCGGUAGUCCUAGCCUUAAACGAUGAAUGCUUGGUGUCUGGGGUUAUAUAGUCCCCGGGUGCCGUCGCUAACGCUUUAAGCAUUCCGCCUGGGGAGUACGGUCGCAAGACUG
rnacentral:rRNA from 1 species